rnacentral:rRNA from 1 species
GUAGGGAAUAUUGGGCAAUGGAUGCAAGUCUGAUCCAGCCAUGCCGCGUGCAGGAAGACGGCCCUAUGGGUUGUAAACUGCUUUUAUACGGGAGCAAUAAGGUCUAUGCAUAGAUUGAUGAGAGUACCGUAUGAAUAAGCAUCGGCUAACUCCGUGCCAGCAGCCGCGGUAAUACGGAGGAUGCGAGCGUUAUCCGGAUUUAUUGGGUUUAAAGGGUGCGUAGGCGGCUUUGUAAGUCAGCGGUGAAAUUUUGCAGCUUAACUGUAAAAGCGCCGUUGAUACUGUGAAGCUAGGAUUUGGUUGCUGUGGGCGGAAUGUGUGGUGUAGCGGUGAAAUGCAUAGAGAUCACACAGAAUAUCGAUUGCGAAGGCAGCUCACAAAGCCAAUAUUGACGCUGAGGCACGAAAGUGUGGGGAUCAAACAGGAUUAGAAACCCUAGUAGUCC